ACCAUCCCCGGCUAAUUUUUUUUGGUAUUUUUUAGUAGAGAUGUGCUUUCACCAUGUUGAUCUGCCCACCUCAGCCUCCCAAAGUGCUGAGAUUGCAGGUGUGAGCCACCAUGGUCAGCCAGAAAUUUAAUGUAGUUUAGAACGAUUACAAAAGUAUUUCUACAUACCUUUAAAUUUUGACUAAUUUUGCCUCUGGCAAUGGGAUCAAAAUAAAAGCAGCAAUUCUUAUUUGUAAUGCAACAGCGUGUCUUAGAAUAGUUAGAUCUCAAGUAAACUUUACAAAUAGAGUACUGGAAUUAAUUUACAUUUAAAAAUAAAUUAGCCCAGUGGCAUAAAAUUAAAUCCCAGGCUCCAAAUAAAAAUUUCAGCAAAUUCCCCUUUUAUCUGUUAACACCGAAAAAUAUCAGCUGCUAUACAGAAAUUAUUUGUGCAUUAUUCCUGGGAGAAAGCAAGCAAGCAGCUCUCAUGGCAGUCUUUAUUUUCUAUGACCCUAACUUAUCCUCUAUGAUCCUGAAUAAAUGGUAGGUAGUACCCCUGCACUAAACUUGGGAAGUACUUAAGUAAGUACAGUCACUUUAAAAGAACUGAUCAUAGAUGUCUAAAAUUAAAACAUUUAUUAAUAAACAAAGUCUCUCUCGUAAAUGGGCCAAGAAGCAAUUCUAAGACAAAAGUGAACCCUAGAAUAUAGAUAUUCCCAGAAGACAAUUUUCCAAGAUACCUAGCCAAACAAUUUUCACUUAGUCACAAAAGUAAUUUUCAUCGAAGCCUACAGUCAUUUCUUUUUCUAAUUCUGUUCUCUCAUUUCUUUCUAAGCAUGAUCUUAAUAAAGCAUAUACCUGUCAAAGACUUCUCUUUGCAAAAGACACGGGAACGGCAGUCAGGAAGAGGACUUCAAAGCCCAGUCACUCUACUGAUCCGAAGUUUAUGGCUGUGUGUAACUUAGCCUCUCUGCAUCUGUUUCCUUGUCUGCAGUGGUAUUAGUUUUAGAGCCAGGGUUUCACCAUGUUGCCCAGGCUGGUCUCAAACUCCUGGCCUCAAGCAGUCCGCCCGCCUCGACCUCCCAAAGUGCUGGGAUUACAGGAGUGAACAACCACCUUGGCCAAGUUUCUUAAUACAAGGAUUUCAUAGGCAAUUCUGAGACUGAAGGUUGAGAAUCACGGCUAAAGUAGGUGUCUUCACCAGCGUAUCUCUGUACCUAAUGUAGCUGCUGGGCACACGGUAGGUACUCAAUACACAUUUGCCUAUCAAUGAAUGAAGAAUACAUUACUGUUACCAUUUAAGAGUUAAGGAGACUGAGGGUGAGAGAAGUUACCUUGCCCAGCGAUCUACACAGCCAGUAGCAGAGCUAGGAUUCAAAUGAGGGUCUUCUAAGACAACAAAUCCCAUCAACCAAAUGUAGUGGCUAAGAGGAAAGGGACCACAGAUAAUAUAAAGGAGGAGGUUGGAGCACUGUGUACCACAGAGGUCUGGAGUCCUGGAAGCCAAGGGUGAUGGGAGUCGGAUGGAACAGGUCUUUUCAAAAGAGCCAAUUUCCAUUCACUGUUUCCACUCCCUCACCUGUUAGCUGUUGUUUUGUUUUCAUUUAUUUUUGUACUUUUGGUAUGAUCUACUUCAACAUUCAAAAAAGUACAGAGAAUAAUAAACACCCAUGUAUCUACCAAUAAGAUUUAUUUUCUGGCCGGGCGAGCUGCCUCACGCCUGCAAUCCCAGCACUUUGGGAGGCCGAGGCGGGCAGGUCAGGAGACCAAGACUAUCCUGGCUAACACGGUGAAACACUGUCUCUACUAAAAAUACAAAAAAUUAGCCGGGCGUG